rnacentral:lncRNA from 1 species
CAAGAGCUCCUCCUGGAGCUGUUUGAUCUCAAGCUUCUUGUUCAACUUCUCAGCGCUCUUUUCGAGAGUCUGUAAAGCCUGAGAAGCUCCAGGUCCUGAAGAGGGAAGGAAUUGUAACACUAAUAUUCCUAUUUAUUGGGUUUUUUUCCCCCUACUCAAGCCAAGUGAAAUGACAUGCACAGAGAUCUGGGCUGAUGAGAGGCACAUAAAUGCCAGUGUUUAGUAUCUGGAUUAGUCACAGAAGAAAGCAAAUCAUGAGCUUGUCUCUCCGAGCUGCCAAGCUGCUGACAAAGUCUUUCAGAAAUAAUGAAGCUGAGUUUAUCAAUGAAGUUUGUGUCAAGAGCAGCCUCCACCAGGAACAGCAGCUCCAGGAGACGGGAGACCCUCCUGAAGGUUUCAGGAAGAAAUGCCUGGGAAUGUUUGCCUGGACAACCUCUUCCUGCAGGAGCUCCACUUGAAGUCAAGGUAAUGAUGAAGUUGGUUUUAUACACAAAAAACUGGAAUUAAUUUACCUGCACACUCAUGU